CCUACGGGAGGCAGCAGUGGGGAAUUUUGGACAAUGGGCGAAAGCCUGAUCCAGCAAUGCCGCGUGAGUGAAGAAGGCCUUCGGGUUGUAAAGCUCUUUUGUCAGGGAAGAAACGGUGAGAGCUAAUAUCUCUUGCUAAUGACGGUACCUGAAGAAUAAGCACCGGCUAACUACGUGCCAGCAGCCGCGGUAAUACGUAGGGUGCAAGCGUUAAUCGGAAUUACUGGGCGUAAAGCGUGCGCAGGCGGUUUUGUAAGUCUGAUGUGAAAUCCCCGGGCUCAACCUGGGAAUUGCAUUGGAGACUGCAAGGCUAGAAUCUGGCAGAGGGGGGUAGAAUUCCACGUGUAGCAGUGAAAUGCGUAGAUAUGUGGAGGAACACCGAUGGCGAAGGCAGCCCCCUGGGUCAAGAUUGACGCUCAUGCACGAAAGCGUGGGGAGCAAACAGGAUUAGAUACCCUGGUAGUCCACGCCCUAAACGAUGUCUACUAGUUGUCGGGUCUUAAUUGACUUGGUAACGCAGCUAACGCGUGAAGUAGACCGCCUGGGGAUACGGUCGCAAGNUUAAAACUCAAAGGAAUUGACCGGNUGAGAGNGCGAGACGACGACGAGGGAGAGG
rnacentral:rRNA from 1 species